CAACACUGCACCUAGCAAAUCAAAACAAAAACAUCGUGCAGCAUGACACAAUAAUGGUUGUGAAAAAUCUUCAGUGGAACUUUUGCCUUGCUUCUCCAAGGAACAGGACAGGUUCACGGCGAUUCCGUUUAAUUCAUAGGCCUGUUGGCGGCGCACUGUUAUCAGACUUCACUUCCCUUUUCUGCUAGCCAAAACAAGUUCAUUCUCAUCAUAACGAAGCUGCCAAAUUCAAGUGUCAAAAAACUUCGGAAGUAAGUUCGGAAGCCGGAAGUCUGGACUUCCGAACUUCAAUUUAGUGCUGGCGACGAGGUUGUGAUCAAGGACAACAAUUCAACGUAAGUGGCCCUGAAACAGAGUGAAAAAACAACUUGUCAUUGUUAGUCAAACUAUUACGCAAUAAACAUCAAACUUAUUUCAAACGAAACUGUAUACUUCAAGCCAUUUUCAAAAAUCUGAGUAGAAUUCAAGCUUCGAAACCGUCAGCAAAAACCUACGAUUCCCAUUGCAACAUCCCUGGUUGCGGUACUUGGUCCGUCUCCCGGUACGACCCCAAGUUCCCCGCGGCAACAUCCCUGGUUGCUGACAUUUGGUCCAUCUCUCGGCAGGUACGAUUCCAAUUUCCCCGCGGCAACAUCCCUGGUUGCUGUCAUUUGGUCCAUCUCCCGGCAGGUACGAUUCCAAGUUCCCAGCGGCAACAUCCCUGGUUGCUGACACUGAUUAUGAUCGUCUGUAAUUACUUCAGAGUUACAAAUUAUGGUAUUUGUCAGUUAUUUCUCCUGCUUGGGAUAUGAACACAUAUAUAAAUGUGCAUGCACUCGUGAAGAGGAAAAAUAUCAACGUCAUAUGCAGCUAAGAUUCCGCUGUCAUAAAACGUCAUAUGCAGCCAGUCCUAUGGAUGAAAAGGUGAAAAGUAUUGUAUUGAAAAUAAACUGUUAUUGAAAACCUCAAA